rnacentral:piRNA from 1 species
UCUCAACAUGGGAACCCAUUUUGGGGCAGGU